UCAGCUGUGUCUGGGGUGCUCUGCAGCUGAGGGGGAGAAGGAGCUGGGUUCUCAGGAGUUUCCUCUGUUUCUCCUUCUGGGUCUGCUGCUUCUGGGUCUGCUGCUGUUACUCCUGAGUCAUCCUUGUCUGAUGAGUCCUCUGAUGGGGCCAUGACAGUAUAGUAUUGUCUGCAUAAGUUAAAUGACUUUUUGCAUUCUUCCCUGAUAAUGUCACUGACUUCAAUCCAUAGUUCUUCUGGUUCUCUUUCAACUAAGUUCAAAGCCUCAGAGAGUAUGGAACUUCUCCAUCUUCUGCUACCAAUUAUGUAAUCAAUUUGAUUCCGAUAAUGACCAUUUGGUGAUGUCCACAUGUACAGUCAUCUUUUCAGUGGUGCAAAAAAUAUGUUUGCAAGAAACAAAUUAUUGGCUUCACAGAAUUCAGCAAUGUCGUCCUCAUCCAAGUGGAGCCCACACGUUAGCCCCAUCUAAUUUGGAUUUUCCUGAUCCACAAUGUGCGGGAGUCCAGGGCAGCAUGUUUUUCUUCAAGGUGCACUGCAGCUUUCUGGGUUUGGAGGGAGGAUCUGGAGAUCAGAGUUACCUCUGCCUGCCUGGCCAUCCUCUAUCCCGGCAAGAGGCUUCUCAAUGGACUACUGGCUGUCUAGCUGCCAGAGCCAC